GGACGAACGCUGGCGGCGUGCUUAACACAUGCAAGUCGAACGCUGAAGCCUAGCUUUUGUUGGGUGGAUGAGUGGCGAACGGGUGAGUAACACGUGAGUAACCUGCCCCCUUCUUUGGGAUAACGCCCGGAAACGGGUGCUAAUACUGGAUAUUCACUGAUCUUCGCAUGGGGGUUGGUGGAAAGGUUUUUUCUGGUGGGGGAUGGGCUCGCGGCCUAUCAGCUUGUUGGUGGGGUGAUGGCCUACCAAGGCUUUGACGGGUAGCCGGCCUGAGAGGGUGACCGGUCACAUUGGGACUGAGAUACGGCCCAGACUCCUACGGGAGGCAGCAGUGGGGAAUAUUGCACAAUGGGCGAAAGCCUGAUGCAGCGACGCCGCGUGAGGGAUGGAGGCCUUCGGGUUGUAAACCUCUUUCGCUCAUGGUCAAGCCGCAACAUUGGUUGUGGUGAGGGUAGUGGGUAAAGAAGCGCCGGCUAACUAC
rnacentral:rRNA from 1 species